rnacentral:rRNA from 1 species
AUGAACGCUGGCGGCGUGCUUAACCCAUGCCAGUCGCACGAAGCAUUUGCGACAGAUUUUUUCGGAAUGAAGUUGCUUAUGACUGAGUGGCGGACGGGUGAGUAACGCGUGGGUAACCUGCCUUGUACUGGGGGAUAGCAGCUGGAAACGGCUGGUAAUACCGCAUAAGCGCACAAUGUUGCAUGACAUGGUGUGAAAAACUCCGGUGGUAUAAGAUGGACCCGCGUCUGAUUAGCUAGUUGGUGAGAUAACAGCCCACCAAGGCGACGAUCAGUAGCCGACCUGAGAGGGUGACCGGCCACAUUGGGACUGAGACACGGCCCAGACUCCUACGGGAGGCAGCAGUGGGGAAUAUUGCACAAUGGAGGAAACUCUGAUGCAGCGACGCCGCGUGAGUGAAGAAGUAAUUCGUUAUGUAAAGCUCUAUCAGCAGGGAAGAUAGUGACGGUACCUGACUAAGAAGCUCCGGCUAAAUACGUG